GUCAGGAUGGCCGAGCGAUCAAAGGCGCCAGACUCAAGUUCUGGUCUCCGAAUGGAGGCGUGGGUUGGAAUCCCACUUCUGACA
rnacentral:tRNA from 1 species